AACGAACGCUGGCGGCAUGCCUAACACAUGCAAGUCGAACGAAGGCUUCGGCCUCAGUGGCGCACGGGUGAGUAACGCGUGGGAAACUGCCUAUUGGUGGGGAAUAACGACGGGAAACUGUCGCUAAUACCGCAUAAGCCCUUCGGGGGAAAGAUUUAUCGCCGAUAGAUGUGCCCGCGUCCGAUUAGCUAGUUGGGGAGGUAAUGGCUCAGCAAGGCGACGAUCGGUAGCUGGUCUGAGAGGAUGAUCAGCAACACUGGGGCUGAGACACGGCACAGACUACUACGGGAGGGAGCAGUGGGGAAUAUUGGACAAUGGGCGAAAGCCUGAUCCAGCAAUGCCGCGUGAGUGAUGAAGGCCUUAGGGUUGUAAAGCUCUUUCGGGUGGGACGAUGAUGACGGUACCACCAGAAGAAGCCCCGGCUAACUUCGUGCCAGCCGCCGCGGUAA
rnacentral:rRNA from 1 species